rnacentral:rRNA from 1 species
AGUGAACGCUGGCGGUAGGCCUAACACAUGCAAGUCGAACGGCAGCACAGCAAGAGCUUGCUCUUACGGGUGGCGAGUGGCGGACGGGUGAGGAAUACAUCGGAAUCUACUUUUUCGUGGGGGAUAACGUAGGGAAACUUACGCUAAUACCGCAUACGACCUACGGGUGAAAGCAGGGGAUCUUCGGACCUUGCGCGAUUGAAUGAGCCGAUGUCGGAUUAGCUAGUUGGCGGGGUAAAGGCCCGCCAAGGCGACGAUCCGUAGCUGGUCUGAGAGGAUGAUCAGCCACACUGGAACUGAGACACGGUCCAGACUCCUACGGGAGGCAGCAGUGGGGAAUAUUGGACAAUGGGCGCAAGCCUGACCCAGCCAUACCGCGUGGGUGAAGAAGGCCUUCGGGUUGUAAAGCCCUUUUGUUGGGAAAGAAAAGCAGCAGGUUAAUACCCCGCUGUUCUGACGGUACCCAAAGAAUAAGCACCGGCUAACUUCGUG